ACUCCUACGGGAGGCAGCAGUGGGGAAUAUUGCACAAUGGGCGCAAGCCUGAUGCAGCAACGCCGCGUGAGGGACGACGGCCUUCGGGUUGUAAACCUCUUUUAGUAGGAAGAAGCGAAAGUGACGGUACCUGCAGAAAAAGCACCGGCUAACUACGUGCCAGCAGCCGCGGUAAUACGUAGGGUGCAAGCGUUAUCCGGAAUUAUUGGGCGUAAAGAGCUCGUAGGCGGUUUGUCGCGUCUGCUGUGAAAACUGGAGGCUCAACCUCCAGCCUGCAGUGGGUACGGGCAAACUAGAGUGCGGUAGGGGAGAUUGGAAUUCCUGGUGUAGCGGUGGAAUGCGCAGAUAUCAGGAGGAACACCGAUGGCGAAGGCAGAUCUCUGGGCCGUAACUGACGCUGAGGAGCGAAAGCAUGGGGAGCGAACAGGAUUAGAUACCCUGGUAGUCCAUGCCGUAAACGUUGGGAACUAGAUGUGGGGGCCAUUCCACGGCUUCCGUGUCGCAGCUAACGCAUUAAGUUCCCCGCCUGGGGAGUACGGCCGCAAGGCUAAAACUCAAAGGAAUUGACGGGGGCCCGCACAAGCGGCGGAGCAUGCGGAUUAAUUCGAUGCAACGCGAAGAACCUUACCAAGGCUUGACAUAUACCUGAAAAGGCUGGAAACAGUCUCCCCGCAAGGCAGGUAUACAGGUGGUGCAUGGUUGUCGUCAGCUCGUGUCGUGAGAUGUUGGGUUAAGUCCCGCAACGAGCGCAACCCUCGUUCUAUGUUGCCAGCGCGUUAUGGCGGGAACUCAUAGGAGACUGCCGGGGUCAACUCGGA
rnacentral:rRNA from 1 species